GAGAUUACAACUUCCUCAUCCACUCCCUCCGCCGCCUCUCAAAACCCUAGAAUUGUCAAUCUCAAUGGCGAUUUCCACAGCUUCGGUACUCUCUCACUGCUAGGGUUCUGAUCAACCUCUCCCGAUCCCAGCUCCGCCGCUGCUAUGUCGACGGUUAACCCCUUCGAUCUCCUCGGAGAUGACGACAACGACGAUCCCACCCAGCUCAUAGCCAUCCAGCAGCAGAAGCUCGCUGCCAAGAAGCCCGCCGCCGCCGCACAGGCGGCGCCGACCGCCAAGCUCCCAUCCAAGCCGCUCCCUCCGACCCAGGCCGUGAGGGAGGCUAGGAAUAAUACUGGCCCGGUGCGAGGU
rnacentral:misc_RNA from 1 species